rnacentral:sRNA from 12 species
GACCUAACCCCUAGUAUUCCACUAGGAUAUGGUCGAAAAUCGCGACAAACAUAAAAACCCCAUCAUUAGGGCGUUUGUCGCGUUACAUCUGGAAACGGGUGUAGGGUCUUCGGAUC